UACAGAGGUCUCAAGCGUUGUUCGGAUUCAUUGGGCGUAAAGGGUGCGUAGGUGGCGCCAUAAGUCAGGUGUGAAAUCUCGGGGCUCAACCCCGAAACUGCACUUGAUACUGUGGUGCUGGAGUACUGGAGAGGAGAUUGGAAUUUACGGUGUAGAGGUGAAAUUCGUAGAUAUUCGCAAGAACACCAGUGGCGAAGGCGGACUCACUGGCCCGGUACUGACGCUGAGGUGCGAAAGCGUGGGGAGCAAACAGG
rnacentral:rRNA from 1 species